rnacentral:rRNA from 1 species
CGUAGGUGGCGAGCGUUGUCCGGAAUUAUUGGGCGUAAAGGGAGCGCAGGCGGGAAGGUAAGUCUAUCUUAAAAGUGCGGGGCUCAACCCCGGUGAGGGGAUGGAAACUAUCUUUCUUGAGUGCAGGAGAGGAAAGCGGAAUUCCUAGUGUAGCGGUGAAAUGCGUAGAUAUUAGGAGGAACACCAGUGGCGAAGGCGGCUUUCUGGACUGUAACUGACGCUGAGGCUCGAAAGCGUGGGGAGCGA